rnacentral:lncRNA from 1 species
CUGACAUGGGUUCUAAGAUUUACCUUUUCUGUCCACACAUCUUAGAGAGAAGGUAAUUUUAUCCUUGCCUGUUCCAAUGCAGUGUAAAUGGAUCUUUAUUCUUCAUAGGUUUAUUCCCUGAUUAAUGGGGACAGUUUGAAUUAAAUUCUCUCUCAUUAAAAUGAGUACUCUUUCAAAUAGUACCUAGAUAGUCGUUGUGUAUCCAUUUCUCCCUAGUCAGCUCUUGUACUUAGGAGAAAGCUGAUCCUUAGCUUUGGGGUGUUUCCUUUCGGUUUGUGUCAAUUAACAUAAAAGAUAACUGUGCACCAGCGGCCCGUGACCUAAGCAUGAGCUGUUCCUGCAGCCAACAUAGAAUUAGUAAUCUGCAAAAGACAUAGUGACGAGACAGCAUCUCUUAGCAUCUGGGUCAAGAAAACUUGUACUUUAUUCCUCAAUUGGACUUCCAGGUACUGUCUAGAAGGGGUCCAGUAGAACCAGAAGAGUUUUCUCAGAGAGGAAGCAACAUUUUACAACUGAAUCUACACUACAUAUACAGAAGAGUCCAAAGUUGGAAACCUAAGCAAUCCAAGAAAUCGCUGUCCCUACAGAAGUUAAACAAUAGGAUACUUUCUCUCCUGCUUUAAUAAAUGGUUGUUAUCUUGCUCUGAAGAUAAUUGAAGCAGUGGACAUCUCAUAUCCUUUUCUACUUAUUGGGCUAGAGUCAGAGUCACCCUGACUCUGACUUAUUUUUUAAUUGAUAAGCUCUUCAAGUCAGAGAGAACUUGGUGCAACUCCAGGCUCUCCUAAUUAUUUAUGGAAAUAAAUAAAUAUGGACAAGUCCAUUACUAAGUCUGUAAAAUCGAGAAAAUAUGAUAAACCAUGCAUGAUUAUAUUGAGUAUUUAAUAAAGGAUCUUUGGUACCAG